rnacentral:rRNA from 1 species
UCCUCCGCUUAUUGAUAUGCUUAAGUUCAGCGGGUAUUCCUACCUGAUCCGAGGUCAACAUUCAGAAGUUGGGGGUUUAACGGCUUGGCCGCGCCGCGUUCCAGUUGCGAGGGUUUUACUACUACGCAAUGGAGGCUGCAGCGAGACCGCCACUAGAUUUCGGGGCCGGCUUGCCAGAAAGGCUCGCCGAUCCCCAACACCAAACCCGAGGGCUUGAGGGUUGAAAUGACGCUCGAACAGGCAUGCCCGCCAGAAUACUGGCGGGCGCAAUGUGCGUUCAAAGAUUCGAUGAUUCACUGAAUUCUGCAAUUCACAUUACUUAUCGCAUUUUGCUGCGUUCUUCAUCGAUGCCAGAACCAAGAGAUCCGUUGUUGAAAGUUUUGAUUUAUUUAUGGUUUUACUCAGAAGUUACAUAUAGAAACAGAGUUUAGGGGUCCUCUGGCGGGCCGUCCCGUUUUACCGGGAGCGGGCUGAUCCGCCGAGGCAACAGUAAGGUAUGUUCACAGGGGUUUGGGAGUUGUAAACUCGGUAAUGAUCCCUCCGCAGGUUCACCUACGGAAAU